rnacentral:rRNA from 1 species
CCUUGUACACACCGCCCGUCACACCAUGGGAGUUGGUUUUACCCGAAGGCGCUGUGCUAACCGCAAGGAGGCAGGCGACCACGGUAGGGUCAGCGACUGGGGUGAAGUCGUAACAAAGGUACC